AUGAAAAAAAAAAAAAAAAAAAAAGAAACAAGUGGAUAUUUUUAUAUAAUGAGAUAUAAAUUUUAUGAGCAAAAAAUAGAUUUAUUUAUGGAUUCAGAAAAGGGUAAAUUUAUUUUUAAAUGCCACUGGGAAGAUAUUUUUAUAAAUCUUAUUGGUUUGCAUUACAAUUUGAAAUUAAUAAUAUAUAUUAUUUAUUUAUUAAAACAUUUUUCUUUAUAUAUAUAUUUUUAUAAUUUAUUAAAAAUUAAUUUUGUUAAUUUAUUACCUGGUAAUGCUCAAAUUAUUAGUAGUAAAAAUAUGAAUAAUAAUAAUGUUGAUAUUAGUAAUAAUAAUGUUGAUAUUAGUAAUAAUAAUGUUAAUAAUAAUAUUAAUAAUAAUAUUAAUAAUAGUGUUAAUAAUAAUAGUGGAAAUUUUAAAUUAAUUAAUAAUUAUAUGAACAGUCAAUUUUUUUAUUAUAAAUUACAAUUAUAUGACUUUUUAAAAGAAUAUAAUUAUUCAAUAAAUAUAGACUUAACAAAUUUUUUAAGCAACCUUUUUGAAUAUAUAGAUUUUUGGUAUUAUAUUUAUGCACCUAAAAGAGAUAUUAUUUCUUCAUUUGAUAAUUAUUAUGAACAAUUCGAGUCGUUUAUGCGAAAUAUUAUUCAUUCGACAGGUAGCGAUCGUAACAGUAGUAGUAGCGAUGGUAAUAGUAGUAGUAGCGAUGGUAAUAGUAGNNNNNNNNNNAGUAGCGAUGGUAAUAGUAGUAGUAGCGAUGGUAAUAGUAGUAGUAGUAGUAGAGCUGACGACAGUAAUGUUGCUGAAGAAGAUAUGCUCCACUCGAAUGAUUAUAAAAAGAGAAAAACAAAAAAUGGUAUUGUAAAAAAACGUAAAAAAAAUAAGUUUUAUAGACAUUCUUUUUUUACAGUUUUUUAUUAUACUAUUUAUAUAAAAGAUAACAUACCCGUGUUAUUAUGUUUGUUUGUUGAAAAAAAUUAUAUUUUUCAAACUUUUAUUAUUAUAUCGUAUGAAAAAAAUGAUGAAUACGAUGAGGAAAUAAUAGAGGAAGGAAUUGAUUUUAAUAAAAAAAAAAAAAUGUACAAGGUAACUAUAAAGUUAACAGGUUGA
rnacentral:lncRNA from 1 species